rnacentral:tRNA from 6 species
GCCCAUGUAGCUCAGUGGUAGAGCACUCCCUUGGUAAGGGAGAGGUCGGAAGUUCGAUUCUUCUCAUGGGCACCA